CAGACAAGAGCCACUCAGGUUAGCCAAGGAGACUGCCUAUCUCGGCUCAUCUGAACCAGCCAGACCACACACUGUGAUCAUAGCACUGCAUCAUUCAGAAGAGCACAAUAGGCAAGUCAUCCUUGGCUACCAGAGGCAGGCUCCUAGCC
rfam:Oryza punctata chromosome 4, whole genome shotgun sequence.